AUACGGAGGGUGCAAGCGUUAAUCGGAAUUACUGGGCGUAAAGCGCGCGUAGGCGGCUAUUUAAGUCGGGUGUGAAAGCCCCGGGCUCAACCUGGGAACUGCAUUCGAUACUGGAUGGCUAGAGUACGAGAGAGGGGGGUAGAAUUCCUAGUGUAGCGGUGAAAUGCGUAGAUAUUAGGAGGAAUACCAGUGGCGAAGGCGGCCCCCUGGCUUGAUACUGACGCUGAGGUGCGAAAGCGUGGGGAGCAAACAGGAUUAGAAACCCCAGUAGUCC
rnacentral:rRNA from 1 species